rnacentral:tRNA from 1 species
GGCCUGGUGGUGGAAUGGUAGACGCAGCGGAUUCAAAAUCCGCCGCCCUCACGGGUGUGCGAGUUCGAGUCUCGCCCGGGCCA